rnacentral:rRNA from 1 species
UACGUAGGGGCUGCACGUUGUCCGAGAUUAUUGGGCGUAAAGAGCGUGUAGGCGGCCAGGUAGGUCGCUGUGAAAACUCGAGGCUCAACCUCGAGAUGUCGGCGGAAACCAUCUGGCUAGAGUCCGGAAGAGGAGAGUGGAAUUCCUGGUGUAGCGGUGAAAUGCGCAGAUAUCAGGAAGAACACCCGUGGCUAAGGCGGCUCUCUGGGACGGUACUGACGCUGAGACGCGAAAGCGUGGGGAGCAAACAGG